GCAUAUCAAUAAGCGGAGGAAAAGAAACCAACAGGGAUUGCCCUAGUAACGGCGAGUGAAGCGGCAACAGCUCAAAUUUGAAAUCUGGCUCUCGGGCCCGAGUUGUAAUUUGUAGAGGAUGCUUUUGGUGCGGUGCCUUCCGAGUUCCCUGGAACGGGACGCCAUAGAGGGUGAGAGCCCCGUCUGGUUGGAUGCCAAUCCUCUGUAAAGCUCCUUCGACGAGUCGAGUAGUUUGGGAAUGCUGCUCUAAAUGGGAGGUAUAUGUCUUCUAAAGCUAAAUACCGGCCAGAGACCGAUAGCGCACAAGUAGAGUGAUCGAAAGAUGAAAAGCACUUUGAAAAGAGAGUUAAAAAGUACGUGAAAUUGUUGAAAGGGAAGCGUUUAUGACCAGACUUGGGCUUGGUUAAUCAUCCAGGGUUCUCCCUGGUGCACUUUUCCAGUCCAGGCCAGCAUCAGUUUGCUUCGGGGGAUAAAGGCUUCGGGAAUGUGGCUCCUCUCGGGGAGUGUUAUAGCCCGUUGCGUAAUACCCUGAGGCGGACUGAGGUACGCGCUUCUGCAAGGAUGCUGGCGUAAUGGUCAUCAACGACCCGUCUUGAAACACGGACCAAGGAGUCGUCUUCGUAUGCGAGUGUUCGGGUGUCAAACCCCUACGCGUAAUGAAAGUGAACGCAGGUGAGAGCUUCGGCGCAUCAUCGACCGAUCCUGAUGUUCUCGGAUGGAUUUGAGUAAGAGCAUACGGGGCCGGACCCGAAAGAAGGUGAACUAUGCUUGUAUAGGGUGAAGCCAGAGGAAACUCUGGUGGAGGCUCGCAGCGGUUCUGACGUGCAAAUCGAUCGUCAAAUAUGAGCAUGGGGGCGAAAGACUAAUCGAACCUUCUAGUAGCUGGUUUCCGC
rnacentral:rRNA from 1 species